CCUACGUGGGGCAGCAGUGAGGAAUAUUGGUCAAUGGGCGGGAGCCUGAACCAGCCAAGCCGCGUGAAGGAAGAAGGCGCCAGGCGUCGUAAACUUCUUUUGUCGGGGAACAAAGGGCGCCACGCGUGGCGUUGUGAGUGUACCCGAAGAAAAAGCGUCGGCUAACUCCGUGCCGGCAGCCGCGGUAAUCCGGAGGAUGCGAGCGUUAUCCGGAUUUAUUGGGGUUAAAGGGUGCGUCGGCGGGCCGGAAAGUCAGCGGGAAAAGCCCGGGGCUCAACCCCGGCGAGCCGUUGAAACUGUCGGACUAGAGACGGCGAGAGGUACGCGGAAUGCGCGGUGUAGCGGUGAAAUGCAUAGAUAUCGCGCAGAACUCCGAUUGCGAAGGCAGCGGACCGGCGCCGGACUGACGCUGAGGCACGAAAGCGUGGGUAUCGAACAGGAGUAGAUACCCGUGUAGUC
rnacentral:rRNA from 1 species